rnacentral:rRNA from 1 species
GUGGGAAACGAUGUGGGAAGGCUCAGACAGCCAGGAUGUUGGCUUAGAAGCAGCCAUCAUUUAAAGAAAGCGUAAUAGCUCACUGGUCGAGUCGGCCUGCGCGGAAGAUGUAACGGGGCUAAACCAUGCACCGAAGCUGCGGCAGCGAACGUAUCACUUAAAACGAUUUAGAGGGUUAACGAUUGACGGAGCGAAGCGACGUCAAAGCGUUUUACAAAGUCGAGUCGGUUUAAGGAUACGUUCGUUGGGUAGGGGAGCGUUCUGUAAGCCUGUGAAGGUGUAUCGUGAGGUAUGCUGGAGGUAUCAGAAGUGCGAAUGCUGACAUAAGUAACGAUAAAGCGGGUGAAAAGCCCGCUCGCCGGAAGACCAAGGGUUCCUGUCCAACGUUAAU